CUGGAUGCCAUUCAGCAGAAACUGAACCUCUCGCAGCAGCUGGAAGCUUGGCAGUUUGCUUCCUCAGGGCUUUUUACUAUCUGGCUCCUUUGGUUUCUGAUCUAGUGGCCUUUCUCAGUUCCCGUAUCAACAGCUUUAGUUGUACACCCCUCCUGCCUUUGAGGAUGACAUGCACAGGGUCAUUGACCGGCAGCUGAUGGACACGCACCUGAAGGAACGGAGCCAGCCAGCUGCUGCCCUCUGCAGGGG
rnacentral:lncRNA from 1 species